UACGGAGGAUGCAAGCGUUAUCCGGAUUUAUUGGGCGUAAAGCGUCCGUAGGUGGUUAUUCAAGUCUAUUGUCAAAGCCUGGGGCUUAACCCUGGAGAGGCGGUGGAAACUGGAUAACUAGAGUGCGGUAGGGGCAGAGGGAAUUCCCAGUGUAGCGGUGAAAUGCGUAGAUAUUGGGAAGAACACCGGUGGCGAAAGCGAGUCUCUGGACAAUUCCUGACACUGAGGCACGAAAGCUAGGGGAGCAAACAGG
rnacentral:rRNA from 1 species